UAUUCCAAGAGUAUAACGUUGAACAAAUGCUCUGAUGUCUUAUUGGUUGUGUUAUUGCAGCAGCAUCAAGAAAUGAACUCCAUGAACAGAGCACUGAUCAAUACCAAUUUGCAGAAAUGCUCUAUAAAUGUUUGAAAGGUCAAAGAUAUUCGAUAGUGAUUGAUGAUAUAUGGAACACUACUGCUUGAGAUAGUGUGCAAAGAUGUUUUCCAGAUGAUAAUAAUGGAAGUUGUAUACUAUUGACUUCUCGGCUCAAAGAAGUGGCUAAAUAUGCUAGCUCAGGUAACUCUAUCAUUAACCUGCCUUUCUUAGAUGCCGAUGAUAGUUGAAGUCUCUACUGCAAAUGUUUAUAGUUACGUGAAUACAAGUAUUUGCAAGAGAUCCCUAGUGGUUUUGUGGAUAUCACCACACUAGCAUUAAUGCAAUUAAACGACUGUCGGGGAAUUCCAUUUUCGCUUCUGCAAAGUGGAUUCAAGAUGAGCAACUCAACAACUAUGGAAAUUCCAUCCUUGUUGGUUCUGAAAGUAUUAGCCUAAAAUGAAGAAUGUAAUGAGCAGGAAGAGAGUGAUGAAGGAGAAAUUGUUUGAAGACAAAAUUCGAAGCCCUCUUGAAUGGGCAUAAUGGUUAGCUGUGGAUGCUUUGGAGGAUUAGGCAACAAGUUGGGUGAAUACUCUGUUAUAUAUUUUGGUGAGCUCAAAUAUAUGGUUUCAUGUUUAAACUGUGUUAUGGUUCUGAUUUUUUUUGUUUUUGUUUUUUUUUUUUUAAUAUAAAAUGGAUAAUGCCAUUUAACUCAUUUCUUAAGAUUAUAAUUCUUUAAGCGAUUUCUUAU